ACUGCCGGUGCUUUCUUUCCUUGUGACGGAUCACCUGAGCUCGAGAAACAUGACAGCGUCCGAGUUCUUGUGCAACAUCUUUCAGAUGAUCUUGAACUAAUACAUAAGGUGUCCAGUUUGUAUGAUGGAGGGCGCUGUUCAGUGCCAGGCUGUUUCCAGAGGAGCAUGCAUUACAGACUGCAAAUGUACGCUAAUGACAAAGACCCAGUGCCUAAAAUACUGCUCAAUAAAACCGAUUUACAGCCUGAAUGUGAUCCAGAGGCAAUAUCAGACAAAAAAACAAACAGUGCUGACGGGAAACUCUGUAACGAGCUCCUGAUCCCACUGGCCUUUUGCUUCUGGAUCGUCUUCCUCCUCGAGGGACCAAGAUAAUGGCACACAUACACAGCAGCUACUCCAGGGCCAAAGAAAUGCUGUUCCUCAUGCACUACCACAUCACAACACCUAAAACUAUCAUCUCAGGCUUUACAUUCCAGGACUAUGGGCUUUCUCAGACCAUGAGGACUUCAUGAUCAAAAACACACUAAAUGGACCAUUGUUUUUGUUAGGCCAGGCUGCUUUAAAAUGCAUGCUUUUAUAGAUUUCCUAUUUUUAUCUCUUGCUCUAAAUUCUCUUAUUUUAUAUGUGCUUUUCUUAUCUUAUGCUACACGUACAGCAUCACAAAACUGGAAACAUGCAUUUCGGUCCACAAAACAACAUUAAAGAAAAAAACAAUUGACUUUCUCCAGGAGGUCUAUAUGACCAGUUGUGCCUCAAAUAGACAGUUAUUCUUCCUCCCUGUGUAGUCAAUUUGACUUCUACCCACAGUUUAUUUAUUUUAUUUUAUUUUUUAUUUCACAGUGUAUAUAGUAUUUAACAGAUUAUUUGUCCCAUCCAUGUUAAAAAAUUUUAUUAAUGCAAAAUAAU